GAAGCUCAAUGCCAUCACUGUAUCGGACGCCUACCCCAUGCCCAGGCAUGACGAGCUCCUAAACAAGCUGGGAGAAGCUCACUGCCUUACCACCAUGGAUUUUACAAAAGGCUACUGGCAAGUACCACUGGAUGCAGAUGCCAGGCUGAAAUCUGCCUUUAUCACCCCUCUGGGGCUCUAUGAGUUCCUGACCCUGCCUUUCGGCCUCAAGGGGGCACGGCCACCUUCCAGCGCCUGGUGGAUCAGCUACUGAGGGGGAUGGAGAGUUUUGCCGUGACGUACAUUGAUGACAUCUGUGUCUUUAGCCAGACCUGGGAGGACCAUGUGUCCCAGGUUAGACAAGUGCUGGACUGACUCCAGGAGGCUGGGCUGACCAUAAAAGCUGAGAAAUGGAAGGCCCCAACACUAGA